CCUGGCAUGGUGGCAUGUGCUAUUGUAGUCUCAGCUACUCAGGAGGCUGAAGAGGGAGGACUGCUUGAGCCCAGGAGUUCUGGGCUGUAGUGUGCUCUGCUGAUUGGAUGUCCACAGUAGAUCUGCAUCAAUAUGAUGACCUCUUGGGAGCAGGGGACCCCUACAUUGCCUAAGGAGGGGUAAACUAGCCCAGACUGGAAAUGGAGAAGGGAAAACUCACUGCUGAUCUGUAGUAGGAUCAUGCCUGUGAAUAGCCACUGCACUCCAGCCUGGACAACAUAGUGAGACCCUGUCUCUA
rfam:Papio anubis isolate 1X1155 chromosome 3, whole genome shotgun sequence.